rnacentral:rRNA from 1 species
AGUGAACGCUGGCGGUAGGCCUAACACAUGCAAGUCGAACGGCAGCACAGGAGAGCUUGCUCUCUGGGUGGCGCGUGGCGGACGGGUGAGGAAUACAUCGGAAUCUACUCUGUCGUGGGGGAUAACGUAGGGAAACUUACGCUAAUACCGCAUACGACCUCCGGGUGAAAGCAGGGGGCCUUCGGGCCUUGCGCGAUUGAAUGAGGCGGUGUGGGAUUAGCUAGUGGGCGGGGUAAAGGCCCACCAAGGCGCCGACACGUAGGUGGUCUGAGGGGAUGAUCAGCCAGACUGGAACUGAGACACGGUCCAGACUCCUACGGGAGGCAGCAGUGGGGAAUAUUGGACAAUGGGCGCAAGCCUGAUCCAGCCAUACCGCGUGGGUGAAGAAGGCCUUCGGGUUGUAGAGCCCUUUUGUUGGGAAAGAAAUCCAGCUGGCUAAUACCCGGUUGGGAUGACGGUACCCAAAGAAUAAGCACCGGCUAACUUCGUGCCAGCCGCCGCCGUAA